rnacentral:lncRNA from 1 species
GUUGGUGAUCUCUCCAGCAUGCUGGCUUCUUUGCAGAGAUCUCCUCUUUGAUAGUUGAAGUGACUUCUUCAAAUCUCACAGACACUCUAUGGGAUCAAGAAGAAUUGGAGAAGGAAUAGGAAAGAGGAAGAAGAGAAAGGAGGCUCGGCUUCAGAAAAUAAUUUUCUCUUUCUCUUAAUUGUUGGCGUUCAACUUUUAGACCCAAUUUAUAAGGGGCAUAGGAACUA